AUAUAUCAAUGGAUAAUGACAGCUACUUUUUGGCAAUUCGUAUAUUUCGGACUUUUGCAGCACUAUUCCAAAUUAUUCGCUUGAGCUUUUGCAAUGAAUUGGUUGUCAUUCCUAUGCGUUUAUCUGCGCCAAAAAUUGCAAACUACACCCUGCAAACAGCAUGGCGAAUCGCAUUGCAUGCGCUGUCAGUGCCAGCGACGCCUGGGCAGAGGACGUGUGUCACAGCAUGUAGAUGCCUACGAAGAAGCGGGAGUGUAUUUGUGUUUUAAAGACGAUAAUUAUUAAAAAGCAGAUUCAAAAAGAGCACAUAUUCAUAUAUUAAAAUUCCUCAGCUGCCCGCUUAUGGUAUUAUUGAAAUUACUAAGAAAUUAUUGAUUACAAUGCCUGGGCAGUCUGGCAAAGAUUUUUGUUUUUUUUUUUUGAUUGUGGUUCUUCAAAGCGUUCCACCGUCUGGCAGCCAAUUUUUGACAUCAGCUUUUGUGUGGCUAAAUUUGAAAGUGGCCGCAAAUAGAAAACAAAGUCACGGCCAACACAAUUGCGCUCUGGUCCCCGGGAAAGUGCUACUAAUUAGCCAUGUCCAAUCACAAGACUCUGCGCGGGCUGAGACCGCAAAUGGACUGGGGAGCCGGAGAGUUAUUUACAAAAGCCGCUUGAUAAAAGUGUCGCUCCAAAUGUGCGACAAUAAGAUGACAUUUUGUUGUUGCCUCUUUGCGGGCGGAAGUCAAAGUGUUGUUAAAUAAAUAAUAAA